GACGAACGCUGGCGGCGUGCUUAACACAUGCAAGUCGAACGAUGAAGCCGGAGCUUGCUCUGGUGAAUUAGUGGCGAACGGGUGAGUAACACGUGAGUAACCUGCCCUUGACUCUGGGAUAACUGCGGGAAACUGUAGCUAAUACCGGAUACGACCCACGUAGGCAUCUCCAGGGGGUGGAAAGAAUUCCGGUCAAGGAUGGACUCGCGGCCUAUCAGCUAGUUGGUGAGGUAAAGGCUCACCAAGGCGACGACGGGUAGCCGGCCUGAGAGGGUGACCGGCCACACUGGGACUGAGACACGGCCCAGACUCCUACGGGAGGCAGCAGUGGGGAAUAUUGCACAAUGGGCGCAAGCCUGAUGCAGCAACGCCGCGUGAGGGAUGACGGCCUUCGGGUUGUAAACCUCUUUUAGCAGGGAAGAAGCGAAAGUGACGGUACCUGCAGAAAAAGCACCGGCUAACUACGUGCCAGCAGCCGCCGUAA
rnacentral:rRNA from 1 species